AACGAACGCUGGCGGCAGGCCUAAAACAUGCAAGUCGAGCGGGCAUAGCAAUAUGUCAGCGGCGGACGGGUGAAUAACACGUGGGAACAUGCCCUUUGGUACGGAACAACUCAGGGAAACUUGAGCUAAUACCGUAUGUGCCGGUAACGGGAAAGAUUUAUCGCCAAAGGAUUGGCCCGCGUCCGAUUAGCUAGUUGGUGAGGUAACGGCUCACCAAGGCGACGAUCGGUAGCUGGUUUGAGAGAACGAUCAGCCACACUGGGACUGAGACACGGCCCAGACUCCUACGGGAGGCAGCAGUUGGGAAUCUUGGACAAUGGGGGAAACCCUGAUCCAGCCAUGCCGCGUGAGCGAUGAAGGCCUUCGGUUGUAAG
rnacentral:rRNA from 1 species